rnacentral:rRNA from 1 species
CCCUUAGACGUUCUGGGCCGCACGCGCGCUACACUGACGAAGGCAACGAGCUUUCCUUUACCGAAAGGUACGGGUAAUCUUUUGAAACUUCGUCGUGCUGGGGAUAGAUCCUUGCAAUUAUUGAUCUUAAACGAGGAAUUCCUAGUAAGCGCAAGUCAUCAACUUGCGUUGAUUACGUCCCUGCCCUUUGUACACACCGCCCGUCGCUACUACCGAUUGAAUGGUUUAGUGAGGCCUUCGGAUCCGCGACUCGUUUUGUGGAGAAGUUGGACAAACUCAGUCAUUUAGAGGAAGUAAAAGGCGUAACA